UUAAGUUCAGCGGGUAUCCCUACCUGAUCCGAGGUCAAACUUGGGUGUGUCUUCGUGGACGCCCCGCGCGGGGGGUCUUGCGAGGCGCGAGUCUGCUGCGCUCGAAGCCGAUCACGCGGGCCGCCAAUGCUUUUGAGGCGAGUCCGCGCCCCCCGAAGAGGGGCGGGACAAGGCGCCCAACACCAAGCAGUGCUUGAGGG
rnacentral:misc_RNA from 1 species